CAUAAGUAACGAUAAAGCGGGUGAAAAGCCCGCUCGCCGGAAGACCAAGGGUUCCUGUCCAACGUUAAUCGGGGCAGGGUGAGUCGACCCCUAAGGCGAGGCCGAAAGGCGUAGUCGAUGGGAAACAGGUUAAUAUUCCUGUACUUGGUGUUACUGCGAAGGGGGGACGGAGAAGGCUAUGUUGGCCGGGCGACGGUUGUCCCGGUUUAAGCGUGUAGGCUGGUUUUCCAGGCAAAUCCGGAAAAUCAAGGCUGAGGCGUGAUGACGAGGCACUACGGUGCUGAAGCGACAAAUGCCCUGCUUCCAGGAAAAGCCUCUAAGCAUCAGGUAACAUCAAAUCGUACCCCAAACCGACACAGGUGGUCAGGUAGAGAAUACCAAGGCGCUUGAGAGAACUCGGGUGAAGGAACUAGGCAAAAUGGUGCCGUAACUUCGGGAGAAGGCACGCUGAUAUGUAGGUGAAGCGACUUGCUCGUGGAGCUGAAAUCAGUCGAAGAUACCAGCUGGCUGCAACUGUUUAUUAAAAACACAGCACUGUGCAAACACGAAAGUGGACGUAUACGGUGUGACGCCUGCCCGGUGCCGGAAGGUUAAUUGAUGGGGUUAGCGGUAACGCGAAGCUCUUGAUCGAAGCCCCGGUAAACGGCGGCCGUAACUAUAACGGUCCUAAGGUAGCGAAAUUCCUUGUCGGGUAAGUUCCGACCUGCACGAAUGGCGUAAUGAUGGCCAGGCUGUCUCCACCCGAGACUCAGUGAAAUUGAACUCGCUGUGAAGAUGCAGUGUACCCGCGGCAAGACGGAAAGACCCCGUGAACCUUUACUAUAGCUUGACACUGAACAUUGAGCCUUGAUGUGUAGGAUAGGUGGGAGGCUUUGAAGUGUGGACGCCAGUCUGCAUGGAGCCGACCUUGAAAUACCACCCUUUAAUGUUUGAUGUUCUAACGUGGGCCCCUUACCGGGGUUGCGGACAGUGUCUGGUGGGUAGUUUGACUGGGGCGGUCUCCUCCUAAAGAGUAACGGAGGAGCACGAAGGUUGGCUAAUCCUGGUCGGACAUCAGGAGGUUAGUGCAAUGGCAUAAGCCAGCUUGACUGCGAGCGUGACGGCGCGAGCAGGUGCGAAAGCAGGUCAUAGUGAUCCGGUGGUUCUGAAUGGAAGGGCCAUCGCUCAACGGAUAAAAGGUACUCCGGGGAUAACAGGCUGAUACCGCCCAAGAGUUCAUAUCGACGGCGGUGUUUGGCACCUCGAUGUCGGCUCAUCACAUCCUGGGGCUGAAGUAGGUCCCAAGGGUAUGGCUGUUCGCCAUUUAAAGUGGUACGCGAGCUGGGUUUAGAACGUCGUGAGACAGUUCGGUCCCUAUCUGCCGUGGGCGCUGGAGAACUGAGGGGGGCUGCUCCUAGUACGAGAGGACCGGAGUGGACGCAUCACUGGUGUUCGGGUUGUCAUGCCAAUGGCACUGCCCGGUAGCUAAAUGCGGAAGAGAUAAGUGCUGAAAGCAUCUAAGCACGAAACUUGCCCCGAGAUGAGUUCUCCCUGACUCCUUGAGAGUCCUGAAGGAACGUUGAAGACGACGACGUUGAUAGGCCGGGUGUGUAAGCGCAGCGAUGCGUUGAGCUAACCGGUACUAAUGAACCGUGAGGCUUAACCUU
rnacentral:rRNA from 1 species